rnacentral:rRNA from 1 species
GACGAACGCUGGCGGCGUGCCUAAUACAUGCAAGUAGAACGCUGAAGGAAGGAGCUUGCUCUUUCCGGAUGAGUUGCGAACGGGUGAGUAACGCGUAGGUAACCUGCCUGGUAGCGGGGGAUAACUAUUGGAAACGAUAGCUAAUACCGCAUAACAGUAGAUGUUGCAUGAUAUCUACUUAAAAGGUGCAAUUGCACCACUACCAGAUGGACCUGCGUUGUAUUAGCUAGUUGGUGAGGUAACGGCUCACCAAGGCGACGAUACAUAGCCGACCUGAGAGGGUGAUCGGCCACACUGGGACUGAGACACGGCCCAGACUCCUACGGGAGGCAGCAGUAGGGAAUCUUCGGCAAUGGACGGAAGUCUGACCGAGCAACGCCGCGUGAGUGAAGAAGGUUGUCGGAUCGUAAAGCUCUGUUGUAAGAGAAGAACGAGUGUGAGAGUGGAAAGUUCACACUGUGACGGUAUCUUACCAGAAAGGGACGGCUAACUACGUG